rnacentral:rRNA from 1 species
CCUACGGGCGGCAGCAGUCGAGAAUCUUUCACAAUGGGGGAAACCCUGAUGGAGCGACGCCGCGUGGAGGAUGAAGGUCUUCGGAUUGUAAACUCCUGUCAUGAAAGAACAAGUAAUGCGGGUGAACAGCCCGCAAAGUUGAUAGUAUUUCAAGAGGAAGGGACGGCUAACUUCGUGCCAGCAGCCGCGGUAAUACGAAGGUCCCAAGCGUUGUUCGGAAUCACUGGGCGUAAAGAGUGCGUAGGCGGCGCGGAAAGUCAGAUGUGAAAUCCCGGGGCUCAACCUCGGAACGGCAUCCGAUACUCCCGCGCUUGAGGACUGGAGGGGAGUCUGGACUUCACGGUGUAGCAGUGAAAUGCGUAGAUAUCGUGAGGAACACUAGUGGCGAAGGCGAGACUCUGGACAGUUCCUGACGCUGAGGCACGAAGGCCAGGGGAGCGAAGGGGAUUAGAUACCCCAGUANUC